rnacentral:precursor_RNA from 1 species
UGCAGGUGGAGCCCAGGGGAACAGGUAGAGCAAGUGACCCUCGCCGCCACCUCUGCAGG